AAGCCUGACAGUUUAAGAAGUGUUUGGACAAAACUCUUAGGGUAUGACUCUUGGGCUGCCCUAUGCAGGGCCAAGAGUUGGAGUCAAUGGUCCUUGUGGGUCCCUUCUAACUUAGGAUAUUUUAUGAUUCCACAAUAAAAAUUUUUUGGGCCUUAAUUUAAAAUACAGAUGGAUUAUACAGCAGAGUUAAAGAAGUGAAACAAGACCACGGAACUUCAGGAUAGGGGGCAGAGCAGCUUCAGCAGAAGGGUGUGAGAGCUCCCCUUCUCCAGGGCAGAGCAGUCCAGAGACCACACUGCAGAACUGUGGCAACAUGGACAUGAAGCUCCUGAAAAAGAAGGUGUUGUGACCUUUCUGUGAUACCACAAGCACUGUGUGCAGUUACAGGAACAUCACAGCUACUGGAAUGGGGGUCAUGGCCAGGUAACUGCCAGCUGCUGUUGGAAAUGCAUGCUCAGAGCUCCAGGAUGUGUGACUGGCUGUGAUACAUUAAUGGGAGAAGGGUAGACUUCUUGUGGAGAAAGAGCUUCGCUCCAUAGGACAGCUCCCUCCAGAAGUGGACAAGCAAGUGAACAAACAGCUUGUGGUACAUCAUCAUGAUUGCCACUUAAACGUGAGAAAAGCAGGUUUUCUGCAAGUGUUUCAACUGUUAAGCAAUUUCCACUUGCAAAUAUGCCCAGGCACUCUUCAUCAUGACCGGGAGAUUAUAGGUUUUCAAACCAAACACUGGAUUGUUUGCUCUGUUAUAUCUAGAUUGGAGACAGAUCAAAAGCAAGGUGGACUUUGAAUGGGUAUUAAGAUAUAAAGAUUUCAAGUUUUGUUUCACUCUUCAAUGUGUUCUAAGUAUUUCUGAAGAGUUUUCUGACAAGAUUUGCAAUAUCAUAACUUGGGAGGAAGCCUAGUUUCUGUAGAGCUGUCCCUGGCUUUUUCUGGGCUAAAGGCAAACCAAGCAAUAAUGUGCCAAAACUACUCUGCCUUUGAACCCAAAGCUGAUUAUCUUGUAACUGAGGCCAAAAUAAGGGAAAGGGGACUAGAGAGGCUUUAGCAUUGAAAACUUGGUUCAAGUUCUUCUGCUGCUACAGUCUUAAUUUGUAACAAUUAAAUGUGGUUUCUAUUUCUGAUUUUGUUUCUGCAUUUGUAGAAGCAAAAAAAAAAUUCUUACUGUCUUGACACCAGAUAAAAUCUACCAAGGUUCAUGACAUACCCAAAUGCCAUGUACAGAAGGCCUACAUUUGUACACUUUCAUCUACUUCACUGCCCCUGACAAAAACAGUGACAUUAAUUACUGUCAUUUUACUAAUAUUAUUUGGGUUCCAAAAUUAGCUGUUGACUUUGUGCAGCACCAUAUUUACUUAGAAGUGAUACUUCCCUUCAAUGCAGAGAAAUCAAAAGCACAAGUUCUCCUUUUCAACUCACUUUCCUCUUUAUAAUGUGUCACAGCACAAACAUUGUGUGUGAAAAAGAGAACUAAGUCAGGCCAUGCAAUUUUACUGUUUGGUGCUCCUUAUGUAGCUAUUGCUUAGUAGUUUCCAUAGCUAAUGCUUGUCUUUUCUUUUGGAUCUUGAGAACACUACCAUGACAAUCCCUAAGAGAGAUACAGCUGCUAUGAAACAUAUGUCUUGUCUAGAAAAGCUGCAUGUGAGUUAAAGAGAAUCCAUAGAACAGGAAGGGAAGUCAUGCAGUAAAAUGAAGUAGUGAACUGCUGGUGUCUAUAUAUUGUACAGCUUGAAUCAUUAUAAUCAGAAAACAGGGAAAUUUGUUAAAUAGACUUUCCAGUCUAAGAGAAAUCGCUGAACCAGCAGUACCUCAAAGACCUUCACCCUGGAUAGAAGGAAUCCCAAACAAAAAUUCUGCUAUGGAAACCAAUUUUUGGCCAGAGAGGCCAAAGACAGUAGAUAACUGGAAAACCAGAGCUCAGAUACAGAGCCAACAUGAAAUGAUUUUUCAAGGAAGCACAGUUUCUUGUUCAUAAUACAGUAUUGAAAUCUGCAGGGACUUUGUAGCAACGUCCAUGAGCAUUAGAGAACAUGGCUCCCAGUGAAUAAACACCAGCUCCAUUCCUGAGCUGUGCAAAGCAGAACUGCAGGAACAUGAUUUGGGUAAGUCUCAGGAUCCUUUGGUUACCAAUGUUGUGCCUUCCAUCAUGCAUACACACACAGGAUUUCCUCAGCAGCUCCACCAAGGCUUGCAGCUCUUAAUGCAAAUCUUUCUAUGUCUAUCAUGAAACUGACUUCCUGUAGGAAAGUAAAACUGUGAUAUUUUGGAAGAUAUUCUGAACAUAAAAGCUCAGUUUUUUAGAUUUCAGGGGUGGGGGUUUCUCUCUAAAGCUUGUUUUAAAAGCUGUCUGAUCAAACCUUUUCAUUACUUGCUCACUUCAGAAACUAGCUGUGCUUCAAAGUCCACCAGCAUCCUUCCACACCUACAUUUCUAGUAUCACCUACCAUAUUUCUUCCUAAAUGCUAUGACAAGCCUCAGUAAUGCAGUAUGAAACACUGCAGGUGAGACACACCAAAAUAACACACUGAAAUGCUGCUGAUCACACCUGCAGCUUACUCAGAAGGUCAUUUUUUAAGUGAAGUUAGGAAUUCAAAAGGUUCAGAAUUCCCAGUCUAGUAGAUUCAAAGACAGAUUAUGGCCUAAAAUAUUUGUGGUCAUUCAAAAUCUCACCAGUCUUUGCACAAGCAUUCUCAGAGAGCUGAUGGACCGAGACUCAAAAGGAGAGAAAGACUGAACCUAUAGACUCAUUUGCAUGAGAAGUGAGAGAAUCUUUUAACUAAUAGAAGAUAGAAUACUAAUCAAUAUGAAAGCUAUGUAACUUGUAGCCAAGGAACAUUCAUGCCUUUUUUUGCCAAAAUAAAUAAUGAAAAGUUCUAAUACUGUGGUGCUGGUUUUCUGAGUUUGCCACCCAGCCUCCCUUUCUGCGCAGAACUGUAAAUAAAUCAAAUACCUUGACUCUGUGGGGAUUGGCCUCUCUCACACUGGAUGAAAAAGAAACAUUUUGGGACAGCAAAGGAUGAAAAUACAGGAGGAAAUCCUCAGGAUACAAAUUAAGGUAGUUCAUGUGGGGGCAAAAUACUGACCUAUAUCAUCACACACAUUCAAAUUAAGGCCAAGAAUUCAUAUGUUAAAUGUAGAAAACAAUAAAAAGUGGCAUGGUAUCAUUUAUUCUGGUGCUUCAAAUACACUGAGCAUGUUCUGUCUCCUGCUUUGGCAGUAGGAUAGUGUCCCAGUCAACAUCAAAGCAAAGAAGCUGAUGGUCACCUGAAAAGCUUAGGCAGUUCUCAGCUGUCUCACAGCCUCUUCUUUUCCAGUCUGCUUUUCCCUCAAAGACCACCUUUAUAGACUGCUCCACUAGAUAAACAAUGAUUUGUUCCUUUCUGCUCUUUCCAAGCAGCUAUGAGUGUGGUACAAAAAGUGGACAACCAGUCUUUGCUGCUUUCAUGAACUAGAAUUACAGUAAUAAAUUGAACCUUUGUUCCCCAAACUUUUGUUUUUGAUGU